GGAAUGUUCUCAUUUAGUUUUGUUUGUUCUGCUUAGGGCGCAGCAGUUAGAGGUGAUAUUGUCUGCGGCUGUCCAGGCAGGAUCUUUAGAACGCCUGACUGGAUGCAUUAAACAUUGGACAUCUGAAAACCAGCCAAAUUCUGUAGUGAAGUUACAGUUUAUUCGUGACUGUGCGUGGAAGAAAGUGGUCUACACCAAAGAUGAAUUUGACCAUAUAUGUGUUCCGCUGUUUGAUGGCUCCUGCCGCUUCCUAGAUCCAAAAACGCUACAGUCCCUUCAGCACUGCCAGUGUCUCUUAAACAACCUGGGCAGAGUCUAAACUGUUUACAAAGAGAACAACAAGAGCUUACUGACAAAGACUUGAGAAAUCAGCAGGUGCUAGCUAGCAACUUUUCUGUGCAUGCGCAAACGGUUAUCUGGUUCUGUCAGUCUGGUCUCCUUCCAGAGGGUUCAGGUGAG